rnacentral:rRNA from 1 species
GUAACNUGAAUAGCAAUAUUUGAUGACGAGUGGCGCACGGGUGCGUAACGCGUAUGCAAUCUACCUUCAACUGGUGAAUAGCCCGAAGAAAUUCGGAUUAAUACACCAUAGUAUUAUUGAUUGGCAUCAAUUAAUAAUUAAAACUCCGGUGGUUGAAGAUGAGCAUGCGUGACAUUAGCUAGUUGGUGAGGUAAUGGCUCACCAAGGCUACGAUGUCUAGGGGAUCUGAGAGGAUUAACCCCCACACUGGUACUGAGACACGGACCAGACUCCUACGGGAGGCAGCAGUAAGGAAUAUUGGACAAUGGUCGCAAGACUGAUCCAGCCAUGCCGCGUGCAGGAUGACAGCCCUAUGGGUCGUAAACUGCUUUUGUGCGAGAAAAAACCUCUUUACGUGUAAAGAGCUGAUUGUAUCGUAAGAAUAAGGAUCGGCUAACUCCGUGCCAGCAGCCGCGGUAAUACGGAGGAUCCAAGCGUUAUCCGGAUUCAUUGGGUUUAAAGGGUGCGUAGGCGGAACGAUAAGUCAGUGGUGAAAGCCUGCAGCUCAACUGCAGAACUGCCAUUGAUACUGUCGAUCUUGAGUAUAUUUGAUGUGGGCGGAAUGUGUCAUGUAGCGGUGAAAUGCUUAGAUAUGACACAGAACACCGAUUGCGAAGGCAGCUCACAAAACUAUAACUGACGCUGAGGCACGAAAGCGUGGGUAUCAAACAGGAUUAGAUACCCUGGUAGUCCACGCUGUAAACUAUGAUUACUCGAUGUUUGCGAUACACUGUAAGCGUCUAAGCGGAAGCGAUAAGUAAUCCACCUGGGGAGUACGCUCGCAAGAGUGAAACUCAAAGGAAUUGACGGGGGCCCGCACAAGCGGAGNAGUNNNGNNGGUUUAAUUCGAUGAUACGCGAGGAACCUUACCUGGGGCUUGAAAGUUAGUGACCGACUGUGAAAACAGUUUUUCCGCANGG